rnacentral:rRNA from 1 species
UACGUAGGCAGCAAGCGUUGUUCGGAAUUACUGGGCGUAAAGAGUGCGUAGGCGGUUUGGCAAGUCCGAUGUGAAAUCUCCUGGCUUAACUUGGAGGGUGCGUUAGAUACUGGCAGGCUUGAGUGUGGGAGAGGAGAGCGGAAUUCCUGGUGUAGCGGUGAAAUGCGUAGAUAUCAGGAGGAACGCCUGUGGUGUAGACGGCUCUCUGGACCAUUACUGACACUGAGGUACGAAAGCGUGGGGAGCAAACAGG